rnacentral:tRNA from 1 species
CCCCUGGUGGUCUAGUGGUUAGGGCUCUGUGCUUCCACUGCAGAGGGCACCAGUUCAAUCCCUGGUCAGGGAA